UGGGCCGAAUCUGCUGGCCUGCUGGAUCAGCUGGGGUGCGGGCCGUGUGGAGUGGGCCGACUGCUGGGUGCUGGACUGGCCUGCUGCCCAACUGUUGGAAUGGGUCUGCUGUUGGCAUGCUAAAAAUGGCCUGCUUUCUUUUUUUUCUGCUGGGUUGCUGUUUUGGGCCACUGGGAAUGGGCCUGCUGCUGCUGGUGUGGCCUGCUGGGAGUGGGAUGGCCUGCUGUUGGCUGGACAGGUCUGCUGUGCUGCCUGGGUGUGGACUGGCCUGCUGUUGGGUUGGUGGGUGCCGUGGGUCAGGUCAGUUUUGCGGGUCGGGUUGACCCGACUGUGAUAUAUAUAAUUUUUUCUUUUGUCUUUUCUUUUUCUUCUUUCUUUUCUUUCUCUUUUUCUUCUUCGAGCCGAACCCUAGCCUUACGCCGCCGCUAACGCUUCCUCCGUUCGGUGGUGCAGUGGUCGGUGCGCCUCCCUUCUCCUCUCUCUCUCUCUCUCUUUUCUUUUCUCUUCUCUUUUCUCCCUUCUUUUUCCUUUUGGUUGCUGUUUUUUUUUACUUGCUAUUUUUUUUCUUUUUUGCUUGUUGCCUUGCUUGAUUGUGUUGUAGGUGCUGGCGGUGGAAGGAAAGCAAGGGCGCGGCGGUGGGCACGGUGGUGGUGAAGGGCGGCCAGAUUUUUGAACUCUUUCUUUUGUUUUUUUUUCUGCUGCUGCUUUUUUUGUUUUGCUUUUCUUUUUGAUUAAUUGUGGCUUUCAAGUGGUGGAGGUAAGGGGAAAAAGACGGUGGCGGUGGUUGCGUGACGGUGGUGAGGGCCCUUUUGCUGCUGUUUUCUUGGUGUUUUUGCUGCUAUUUUCUUUCAAUUUUUUGUUGCUUUCUCCAUGUUUUACUCUUGCUUGUUUACUUUUUUUUUGAGGGUUUUUCACGUGAAAUGUUUGUGUUCGAUCUUCUCCACUUUUACUAUCUUGUUGUUUAUGCUAGUCGAUCCCCAAUAGAUAGCAAACAUAAGGCAUGUUUAGUAGCACUUAAAAAAAGCACUUUUGGCUCCAAAAACAUUUUUGAAAGAAAAGUUGUGCUAAAUAAGUUGCUUUUGGCUAAAAUUUUUUUGCUUAAAAACACUUUUGAAAAGAAAAAGCUAAAAUUUUUUAGCUUUCCUUUCACAAACACUUUUGAUGCUUAAUUACUUUUUAUCCCUCCAAUAACAUAGUACUUUCCCUUUUUUUCUUCUAGGUGCUUAAUUACAAAUGUGUUAAAAUCAUUCAUUAAAAAUAAAAUAAAAAUAUUUUUUAAAAUAUUAAUUACAAAUAUUUAAUGGUUAUAUUUAAAUAUUUAAAAUAUGGUUUAUAUAUUUUAAUUAAAUUUUAUAAAUAAUUAAUAUUUAUUAUUUAAAAAUAUUUAAAAUUUAUAUUUCAUAUAUUUAAAUAUGAAAAAAUAACAAGGAAAUGGAAAUCAUGGAAUUGAUGAGCUCAUCAAUCAUGGUAUAAAUUAUUGAUACAUGGAAAUUGUUGGACUAAUUUGAAUGUUGAGUUUGUGCAUGAUAGGGGAAUAAUGUAUGGAAUGAGUGUAUGAAUAUUUAUUGCAUUGUAUUAAAAAUAUUAGGUAAGUAUAAUUCUUGUUACAUGAACUUACUAAGCACAAAGUGCUUACCCUGUUUCUUUUUCCCCAGUUUUGUAGUAUUAAGAGCUCGGAGGUUGGAUUCGGUUAGAGACGUAUCACACUAUCAACCUCAAGAUCUCGGUAUAUAAAGAAACUUUAUUUUGGAAAUCGAUGGCAUUUAUAAGCUAGUAAAGUAAAUGUUAAUGUGAAAUGAAUGAAUGGUUAGCCAUUGGUAUGGCUAACAAAUUUUGGUUUUGGUAUGUGAUGAGGUUAUCUUAUGAAUACGUUAAAUCUAUCUUGAAAAUAUGUUGAAAUUGAUUGGUUGUGUUGGUUUGGUCUCGGUUUAAAAUUGCAGAGAAGAUUAAAUACUUGUAAAAGGGGUUAUAUUGAAUUUUUUUUUAAAAAUUUGGGAUUUUGCGAAAAAACUUAGACGAUAAUCGACGAGCAAUUGAAAAAGGGCUAAAAUAGGCCCGACGUAAAGGAGGUCCCCGACGUUGGGACGGUGCGAUAGUUUUUGGUAAUGGACGUGACAACGAUGUCGUAACGAGGAAAGCUGGCAUGUCAUGACAUCACGAUGAUGUCUGAUAUUAUACAACCACGUUUUGGACAACUCAACAGGACUUCUUCUAGUUGAGCUUUGACUGCUUCAGGAAUAUUUUAGUAUAAUUAAAACUCUAAUAUUAGCUAUUUAAAGGGCCAUAGUAACCUUGAUUUAGACAUGCUAAUCAGUGAGUGUUUUUCUUGAGGGUGACAAGAUGUAGUUGCAUAUGAGUUUUUAUGAGAAUUUUGUGGUAAUUAUGAAAAGAAUUUUGUUUUUGAGUUAUGACUUUAUUUUUGGGAUUUAGG
rnacentral:lncRNA from 1 species